UACGAAGGGUGCAAGCGUUACUCGGAAUUACUGGGCGUAAAGCGUGCGUAGGUGGUGAGUUAAGUCUGUCGUGAAAGCCCCGGGCUCAACCUGGGAACUGCAUCCAAAACUGGCAAGCUAGAGUACGGUAGAGGGUGGUGGAAUUUCCUGUGUAGCGGUGAAAUGCGUAGAUAUAGGAAGGAACACCAGUGGCGAAGGCGACCACCUGGACUGAUACUGACACUGAGGUGCGAAAGCGUGGGGAGCAAACAGG
rnacentral:rRNA from 1 species